rnacentral:tRNA from 1 species
GCCUACAUGGCUCAGCGGUUGAGCAUCUGUCUUGCGCUCAGGUUGUGAUCCCCGGGUCCUGGGAUCGAGUCCCAGAUCAGGCU